GCUUGGAUCCAAGUCGGUUUGUCCGGACUCAAUCUUGAUACGAGCCCCACGCGUCACACUUGGGACAGGUCAUAGAAAGGCCUGAUUCGUAAUCACUGCAUCCAUCCGCCAUUAUUCUUUUAAAAGCGACUCUCGCCCCCACCGGCCAUCCCUUCUGGUGGCGGUGGACCGCUCCUUCCAAAAUACAAACUGCUCCUAUUCUGUUAGGGUUAGGGUUUCUUCCUGAUGAUGAGGACCCCAAGAUCGUAGAAGCACAACCAAGUUCCAUUUCUCUACAGUUUCAUUUCGGAGCUCUGCCUUUUGGAAGAGAUCAGUCACAUGGCUUCUUCAUCUCCUGUCUCUAUUAGCAACAUUGGUGACUCUAUCAUCGCCAUCACAGCCAUAAAUGGCAACACAACACCUCAACAGCCUGGUUCCUAUGAAAUGCCAAAGCCAAGCCUCCGAGGACUCAACAAACCGAAGUGUAUCAAGUGUGGCAAUGUUGCUCGUUCUAGGUGCCCCUUCCAAUCAUGUAAGAGUUGUUGUGCCAAAGCCGAAAAUCCAUGUCAUAUUCAUGUUCUGAAACAGAAUGGUAUUUUACCAGACAAACCACCAGUUUCUAGUUCCAUAUCAGUGGAACAACCAUCAAAUGAUGUGUCUACAAUUGGGGCUUCUUGGAGACUUAAUUCACUCAGGCAGCUUUCUAAUAAUUUUGCCAAUAUUUUACGGACAAAGAGACCUCUUACCAGGAAGGAUGCAACAGAUAUAAACCAGUGGAGGUUUAUGAAGUUAAGAGAACAUUUUGAACAAAAUAUUGAAGCUGAAAAUGAGGCACUUGAUAGGUACAUGGAAAAUGUCGAUUUGCUGGAAGAAACACUCUCAAUCAUGGAAGGAACUGAACCCGGUCACCAGACCAGAUUUGGUCCUAGUUCUUCUGAAAAUUUGGUAUCUGAGAUUAAAAUGAAGCUUAAAGCUGAUUCUGAAAGAGUUGCUGUUUUGCGAGAGAGGAUAUGGGACCUUAUUGAUCAGAAAUUGAGCAAGUUGCGUGAUGCAAAAUUUAUUCAUGUUGAUAGUUCAACACAUGUUGAUGACGUAGAUGAUCAUGAAGAGUGUCAAAGGUCGAAAAAGACCAUGAAAUGGCGCCAUGAAAGAAGUGCAGCAAUGACUCACUUAAUUAAUAAGUUGAGUAGAGCAGAAAGUGAUGAAGAUCUCAGAUCUUGCUUAGACAUGAAAUCUCAGCUGUCAGACCAGAUGGAUAUUGUUGCAGAUGCAUCUAGUAAUUUGAGAAGUGAAAAUCAGUUAAUGACCAAGCAAGAAUCAGAAAGUGUGGUAACUUUGUCUUUUCAUUCUCUAUCUAAGAUGUCUGCAACUGUCCACGUUGAUGAAGAUACUCUUGGGAACAUUAAAGCACAGUUCUCAUCUCUCAGCCAAAUUGCAGAAUUAUGACUCAAGGAUGAAGUAGCAAAGGCCAUGGAUAUUGCAGCCAAGGAGGCAUGCAUACUAUUGUUGGAUGCAAUUCUACAGUAUUGUUGCACGUCCAUCGGGCAUCUGUUCUUGGAAUUCUUACAAUGCUGAUUCAAAAAAUAUUAGAUUAUAAGUACAUCCGUGGGUAUGCUUUUCCAGCUGUUGCAGUGGAAGUUGAGCCUGUUUCUCCACCUUCUCUCGUGGCAGUAAAGCAAGUCUGUGGUUAAAGUUGUCACAUGAGACUUCUGCACUUGGCAGCAUCCUUUAUCAGAACUUAGAUGAUAACCAGAGAAAGAGAAAAAAAGAUGAGAAAAGAAAAAGGAUCCUUGGAGUUACCUUUUAACUGUUGGAAUGUCAAAAGCUUUUAGUAAGGGCAUCCAACCGAAGAGAAAUAUUGGUGAAAAGAGAGACAAGGCAAUUGUUUUCCUCCUCCUACAUCAACACAGAUGCUGCAAUGAAGUACAAUCACAGUAUCACAUGAUAUGGGUGCUCUUUUUUCAAGUUGCGUAUGGCAUUCAAUUUUACUGGUUGCAGAGUCCAGAAGGUUGUUGAAUGGAUGUGAUAAAAGCUGUGUUCCUUUGUCUCCAAUUUACUCUCUCUGUGAAUGGCUGAAUCAAGCAGUCUUGCCUGUGAAGUGCUUUUCAUGUUGCACAAGGUGAAACAGUUGAUAUGGAAGCCUCAAAUUUCUCUUCAGCUUCACCACCAGUGAACAUGAGCCUCUUCCCAGGGUUCUUGGAAUCAAGUAUAUGGAAAUGGACACCUCUCUACUAAAGAUUAGAUACAUGAGAAGAUGCAAAUGGACUCGAUAAGAACACGACAAGUUUUAUACUUGAUCAAUACGUGCAUCCUACAAUUUAGUAGUUGGUUUGUCCACAACAAAUGGAUGUGGUGCCGUAGAGGAUUUUAAUGCUUGUGGCCACACAUGAUCGAUCACCAACCUUUAUGGUACAUGUAUUUUUGCAGCUCCGAAUCCUCGUGGCAUCAUAAUAAGGCCAAGAAAAGUGCUGUGUAUAUGACACCCACCUUUCUUUUCUUAUAUGUUCAUACUGCAUAAUUCAUAUCUUC